rnacentral:rRNA from 1 species
GAUUCUGGCUCAGGAUGAACGCUAGCGACAGGCUUAACACAUGCAAGUCGAGGGGCAGCAUAGAAGUAGCAAUACUUGGUGGCGACCGGCGCACGGGUGAGUAACGCGUAUGCAACCUACCUAUCAGAGGGGAAUAACCCGGCGAAAGUCGGACUAAUACCGCAUAAAACAGGGGCACCGCAUGGUGAUAUUUGUUAAAGAAAUUCGCUGAUAGAUGGGCAUGCGUUCCAUUAGGUAGUUGGUGAGGUAACGGCUCACCAAGCCGACGAUGGAUAGGGGAACUGAGAGGUUGGUCCCCCACACUGGUACUGAGACACGGACCAGACUCCUACGGGAGGCAGCAGUGAGGAAUAUUGGUCAAUGGGCGGGAGCCUGAACCAGCCAAGUCGCGUGAAGGAAGAAGGAUCUAUGGUUCGUAAACUUCUUUUGCAGGGGAAUAAAGUGCAGGACGUGUCCUGUUUUGUAUGUACCCUGAGAAUAAGGAUCGGCUAACUCCGUGCCAGCCGCCGC